UCCGAAUUGGUGUAGUGGCUAACAUUUGACGCUCUCAGCUCUGUCUUCCUUUCCUUCUCUGAAGUUAAGGAGCAGUAUCAGUACCGUCAAGCCCGGGGUUCGAUUCCCCGAUUCGGAG